UGCUAAUUUGCAUCUGGCCAGCAUGCCGGGCUUCCCUGCGGAUGAAUGAAGAAGGCAAAGGAUGGAUGGAGAACUUUGCAACCA
rnacentral:lncRNA from 1 species